UUAAGCGACUAAGCGUACACGGUGGAUGCCCUGGCAGUCAGAGGCGAUGAAGGACGUGCUAAUCUGCGAUAAGCGUCGGUAAGGUGAUAUGAACCGUUAUAACCGGCGAUUUCCGAAUGGGGAAACCCAGUGUGAUUCGUCACACUAUCAUUAACUGAAUCCAUAGGUUAAUGAGGCGAACCGGGGGAACUGAAACAUCUAAGUACCCCGAGGAAAAGAAAUCAACCGAGAUUCCCCCAGUAGCGGCGAGCGAACGGGGAGCAGCCCAGAGCCUGAAUCAGUGUGUGUGUUAGUGGAAGCGUCUGGAAAGGCGUGCGAUACAGGGUGACAGCCCCGUACACAAAAAUGCACAUGCUGUGAGCUCGAAGAGUAGGGCGGGACACGUGGUAUCCUGUCUGAAUAUGGGGGGACCAUCCUCCAAGGCUAAAUACUCCUGACUGACCGAUAGUGAACCAGUACCGUGAGGGAAAGGCGAAAAGAACCCCGGCGAGGGGAGUGAAAAAGAACCUGAAACCGUGUACGUACAAGCAGUGGGAGCCUCUUUAUGGGGUGACUGCGUACCUUUUGUAUAAUGGGUCAGCGACUUAUAUUCUGUAGCAAGGUUAACCGAAUAGGGGAGCCGGAGGGAAACCGAGUCUUAACUGGGCGUUAAGUUGCAGGGUAUAGACCCGAAACCCGGUGAUCUAGCCAUGGGCAGGUUGAAGGUUGGGUAACACUAACUGGAGGACCGAACCGACUAAUGUUGAAAAAUUAGCGGAUGACCUGUGGCUGGGGGUGAAAGGCCAAUCAAACCGGGAGAUAGCUGGUUCUCCCCGAAAGCUAUUUAGGUAGCGCCUCGUGAAUUCAUCUCCGGGGGUAGAGCACUGUUUCGGCAAGGGGGUCAUCCCGACUUACCAACCCGAUGCAAACUGCGAAUACCGGAGAAUGUUAUCACGGGAGACACACGGCGGGUGCUAACGUCCGUCGUGAAGAGGGAAACAACCCAGACCGCCAGCUAAGGUCCCAAAGUCAUGGUUAAGUGGGAAACGAUGUGGGAAGGCCCAGACAGCCAGGAUGUUGGCUUAGAAGCAGCCAUCAUUUAAAGAAAGCGUAAUAGCUCACUGGUCGAGUCGGCCUGCGCGGAAGAUGUAACGGGGCUAAACCAUGCACCGAAGCUGCGGCAGCGACACUAUGUGUUGUUGGGUAGGGGAGCGUUCUGUAAGCCGUUGAAGGUGUGCUGUGAGGCAUGCUGGAGGUAUCAGAAGUGCGAAUGCUGACAUAAGUAACGAUAAAGCGGGUGAAAAGCCCGCUCGCCGGAAGACCAAGGGUUCCUGUCCAACGUUAAUCGGGGCAGGGUGAGUCGACCCCUAAGGCGAGGCCGAAAGGCGUAGUCGAUGGGAAACAGGUUAAUAUUCCUGUACUUGGUGUUACUGCGAAGGGGGGACGGAGAAGGCUAUGUUGGCCGGGCGACGGUUGUCCCGGUUUAAGCGUGUAGGCUGGUUUUCCAGGCAAAUCCGGAAAAUCAAGGCUGAGGCGUGAUGACGAGGCACUACGGUGCUGAAGCGACAAAUGCCCUGCUUCCAGGAAAAGCCUCUAAGCAUCAGGUAACAUCAAAUCGUACCCCAAACCGACACAGGUGGUCAGGUAGAGAAUACCAAGGCGCUUGAGAGAACUCGGGUGAAGGAACUAGGCAAAAUGGUGCCGUAACUUCGGGAGAAGGCACGCUGAUAUGUAGGUGAAGCGACUUGCUCGUGGAGCUGAAAUCAGUCGAAGAUACCAGCUGGCUGCAACUGUUUAUUAAAAACACAGCACUGUGCAAACACGAAAGUGGACGUAUACGGUGUGACGCCUGCCCGGUGCCGGAAGGUUAAUUGAUGGGGUCAGCGCAAGCGAAGCUCUUGAUCGAAGCCCCGGUAAACGGCGGCCGUAACUAUAACGGUCCUAAGGUAGCGAAAUUCCUUGUCGGGUAAGUUCCGACCUGCACGAAUGGCGUAAUGAUGGCCAGGCUGUCUCCACCCGAGACUCAGUGAAAUUGAACUCGCUGUGAAGAUGCAGUGUACCCGCGGCAAGACGGAAAGACCCCGUGAACCUUUACUAUAGCUUGACACUGAACAUUGAGCCUUGAUGUGUAGGAUAGGUGGGAGGCUUUGAAGUGUGGACGCCAGUCUGCAUGGAGCCGACCUUGAAAUACCACCCUUUAAUGUUUGAUGUUCUAACGUAGACCCGUAAUCCGGGUUGCGGACAGUGUCUGGUGGGUAGUUUGACUGGGGCGGUCUCCUCCUAAAGAGUAACGGAGGAGCACGAAGGUUGGCUAAUCCUGGUCGGACAUCAGGAGGUUAGUGCAAUGGCAUAAGCCAGCUUGACUGCGAGCGUGACGGCGCGAGCAGGUGCGAAAGCAGGUCAUAGUGAUCCGGUGGUUCUGAAUGGAAGGGCCAUCGCUCAACGGAUAAAAGGUACUCCGGGGAUAACAGGCUGAUACCGCCCAAGAGUUCAUAUCGACGGCGGUGUUUGGCACCUCGAUGUCGGCUCAUCACAUCCUGGGGCUGAAGUAGGUCCCAAGGGUAUGGCUGUUCGCCAUUUAAAGUGGUACGCGAGCUGGGUUUAGAACGUCGUGAGACAGUUCGGUCCCUAUCUGCCGUGGGCGCUGGAGAAUUGAGGGGGGCUGCUCCUAGUACGAGAGGACCGGAGUGGACGCAUCACUGGUGUUCGGGUUGUCAUGCCAAUGGCACUGCCCGGUAGCUAAAUGCGGAAGAGAUAAGUGCUGAAAGCAUCUAAGCACGAAACUUGCCCCGAGAUGAGUUCUCCCUGACUCCUUGAGAGUCCUGAAGGAACGUUGAAGACGACGACGUUGAUAGGCCGGGUGUGUAAGCGCAGCGAUGCGUUGAGCUAACCGGUACUAAUGAACCGUGAGGCUUAACCUU
rnacentral:rRNA from 1 species